ensembl:snoRNA
UUGCUGUGAUGAUGCUUACUUGGUUUCGCUCACUGCUGACUUGCAGUGAAGACAUUUUCCUCUUGGCUGUCUGAGCAG